CAGCAUGGUCUUAUGCUUUCAUGGCAAGCUACCCUGUGUACCUUGGCUUUUUCAAAGCAGUAGGUUUUAGGUACGCUAUGUUUACUAAACCUGAUUGCCUAGUGUUGUUUUUCUUCAUUGAUUUGCUGGAAAUGCCUUCAAUUUAGUGUAUGAAAUAAGAUUUCCCUUUCUACACAGUAUGUUUUAGCUGUUGGGAGCUCUGUGUUCCAUGCGAUGUUUUACGGAGAACUUGCAGAGGACAAAGAUGAAAUCCGUAUACCAGAUGUCGAACCUGCUGCUUUUCUUGCUAUGCUGAAAUACAUCUAUUGUGAUGAAAUUGACUUGGCUGCUGACACAGUGCUGGCCACACUUUAUGCUGCCAAAAAGUACAUUGUCCCUCACCUUGCCAGAGCCUGUGUUAAUUUCCUGGAGACCAGCCUGAGUGCCAAGAAUGCCUGUGUGCUCCUCUCCCAGAGCUGCCUGUUCGAGGAGCCAGACCUGACCCAGCGUUGCUGGGAGGUGAUUGAUGCCCAGGCUGAGUUAGCUCUCAAGUCUGAGGGAUUCUGCGAUAUC
rnacentral:sRNA from 1 species